rfam:Hordeum vulgare subsp. vulgare, WGS project CAJW01000000 data, contig: morex_contig_349824
GCACCAAUGAUGAUGAUAUGGUGUCCUAUCUUCUAGCAGCCUCGACAUCGACUACAAUCCAUUGGUUGCCUCGGUUUUGGGGAGAUCGGCUACUGACCCGGUGUGUUUCAGUGAUCUGCACACACAACUUCUAAGCUAUGAGA